UCUCCAUUCAUCACACCAUCUCACCGAUCAGAGAGGCGAGAGAGUGUGGGAAAUGAAGAGA
rnacentral:pre_miRNA from 1 species